rnacentral:rRNA from 1 species
UACGAAGGGUGCAAACGUUGCUCGGAAUCAUUGGGCGUAAAGCGCACGUAGGCGGCGCUGCAAGUCGGACGUGAAAUCCCUCGGCUCAACCGAGGACGUGCAUCCGAAACUGCAGUGCUCGAGUAUGGAAGAGGGUCGCGGAAUUCUCGGUGUAGAGGUGAAAUUCGUAGAUAUCGGGAGGAACACCAGUGGCGAAGGCGGCGACCUGGGCCAAUACUGACGCUGAGGUGGCGAAAGCGUGGGGAGCAAACAGG